rnacentral:lncRNA from 1 species
UUUUGGGAGAUAAACAGCUCUGGUUCAGUGGAAGAUGGUGAGGGGGCUCAGGUGGCUGCCGAUGAACUAGGUUUUGAGUGGAAUAAGCAAACAACUAGCUGUAGUUGGAUCAGUGGGUGAAAAAUUCAAGGAAAGAGGUUAAGGUGAGGGGAGAUCCAAAUUAAGGAGAGGCACGAUGAAAUCAAAUGGCCGGAGGAGACAAAUCCAAGAGAAACUCACACAUGUUCUUUACCUUUUGGGAGAUAAAAACGACUCUGGUUCAAUGAAGAUGGUGAGGGAGCUCAGGUGCUGCCGAUGAACUGGGUUUUGAGUGGAAUAGGCAACAACUAGCUGUAUUUGGAUCAGUGGGUGAAAAAUUCAAGGAAAGAGGUUAAGGUGAGGGAAGAUCCAGGCACGAGGGUAUGGAGGAUAGACGAAAGGAUGCAGUGAUGAACUGUUGAAGAUAAGGCAGGAGCGUCAUCUCUGACUAUGAGCUGCCAGCGGCUGCUAGUCUUGUGGGUCCCCAAACGUCCCCUCAUCUUUCUCUUUUCUUUUUUCUUUUUAGUUUUUCUUUCUUUUUUUUUCUCAAAGAGAAAGGGUCAAAUCCAAAGUACAGUUUGAGCUCUCAUGUAUGAGCCAGU